AACAUCAAAUUUUCGGUAAGGAAUUUAGUAUUUCUUCCGACAUCUUAAGAGAUAUUUUUAAAUAAACUAAAAUUAUUAAGCAUGAUGAUUGUGAAUUUGCCUGUUUUUUUGUUUUAUAGUUCAGUUAAGUCGAAUUGUUCUUAUUUUCAAGCAUGCUAUGUAAUUUAUAGACACUUGAUGAUUUGUAUGUAAUAAAAAUAAUAAUAAGAAGUCAGUAUUGUUACCUAGAAAAACAAAAGAAAUAAAAAAAAGUAGAAUGAAGCAUGAAUAGUCCGAAGUAUGUAUCUAUAUUGACAUGCAUAAUGCAUCAAGUGUCUUGUUAAACUUUUUAUCUCUGAGGGUUAUCUGUUCCC
rnacentral:lncRNA from 1 species